UAGUCAGGUACAGGUGUGUGUGAAUCAUCAAGAGGGUAUAAAACAGGUAAAUUAUCUCAGGUAGAUCACAGUUUAAGGUGUACAUCACAGUUAGACCGAUUCUCUGACAAGGCAUCACUAUCAGAUAAAAUGAAUUCCCUUUUUAUAUUUGCUGUAUUUGCAUUAAUAGCGUCAUGCUAUGGUCAGACAUUCUCCUUGAUUGAUACCAAUAAAGAUGAUAUACUGGUGUUUGCAGAGUAUAAAGCUAUAUUUGAUGCUUAUGAUACUGACUCUGACGGUAGAGUGUGGCCGGCUGAUGUCGCAGCCGCGACUAAAUUAACUGUUCCUCAAAUACAAGCAGAUUUCAAUAGGUAUGACUUCGACAAGGAUGGUAAGAUAGACGUCAAAGAAUUACAGAGAGUUUUCGACGCUUUUGAUCUUAACAAGAAUGGCGAAAUAUCAUUGGAAGAAUUUGUUAAAGGUAGCAAACAGGCUCAACCUGUUGUAGGCAGAAAAUAAAGAUGGAGAAAUAGAUCUGAUUAUAGAAUAUCCUGGAUAAUUUUUAGAACAUUAAAUAAAUCCCAUUUUACUUUUUGAAAUUAGACAACUGUUUUUCAUGUAAGAUAAACGUUUGUAAUCGUAAUUAAAUUGUUUUUAAAGGA